rnacentral:misc_RNA from 1 species
UUUGUUUCCGCAAUGUCUUCAGACGAAGAAUUUUUCAGUUCUCUCAAGAAAAAGAGGAAAAUAAGUGAAAGGAGUUGCAGUGAUGUUGUAAGCAGCGAAGAGGACACCUCUUGUGAUCAGCAGACACCAGAAACAUCCAUUCAAGAAGUUCAGAGAGAAUAAGAAACAAAAAAAAGUUUGCCAUGCCUAAAAAGGAUGACAUCUGGAAAGACAUUCCUUCGACAGAGAAGAUAAAAUCAAUAACUCCACCAAAAAGUGUCAACGACUUCACCAAAGUAACAAAUAGGUAUAAUGCUGAUCGAUAUGAGAUAUUUGAAGAUGGUUAUUAUGACAGUGAUGACAUUGAUGAAUUCAUUAAUGAUGAAGAAGAGAGUGAUGAAGAAUCGGAUGAAACACCACACCCAAGUCGAAUUAAAGGAUACAGAAGAAGAUUACUUCUAAAGAACAGUGACUCUGAUUCCGAAGAAAGUGAUUCUUGUCAGCCAUUACAGAAUGAUUCAGCUGAUGAAGGAAGUUUAGGUAAAGGAAGUUCAAAGGUGACUGAAGACAAUGGUUCAAGGUCAAAUUCACCAUUGUCUGGCUUGAAAUUGAAGAAGACCAAGUAUAAAAGCAAUGUGAUAGAAUCUAGUGAUUCUGAGACAGAAGUGGAAGAAAAUGACAAUGACAACAAAUCUCCCCAGAAUGAGAGCUGUCACAACUUGGGUGCCACUGCAAAUUCUAACAACAGUCCAUCCAGUUCAAUUGCAUCAGUAGAGCAGCAAUCAAAUUCAGAUGUUAAAGCAGUAGAGCACACAGACUCAGGAGCAGAAGUGGUUAUAACUGAGAGUGAUGAGGAACUUUCUGUUUAUUGUGCUUCUGUAGAGAAAGUUCAAGGCAGCAUUGUUGUUUCCAGUGAAUCAAGUGAAAGUGAAAGUAGUUCAGGGUGUGAAAGUGAGGCUGAGAGUGGCGGCUCAGGGAGUGAAACAGAGGAGGAACUUCAAAAGCAUGAUAGAGCUUACAGACAAAGGCAGCAAAAACAGAAAAAAUUCGAGGAAUUUAAACAAUUAAGAAGAAACAGACAGUUAUCAUCGUCAAAAUAGAUAUGCAUGUACCAGCAGCCAGAGAGAUAUUUGUCAUGUAUAAUUAUGUAUUUUUUUGUUAGUAUCAACAUUGAUCAAAUCAUCAGAUAUAAAAAAAAUUCAAGUUCUCAAAUUGUGUUCAAAUCGUGCAAAAUGGCAAUAUUAACCAUGUUUAUAUUUCACUGUAUUUGUUUUCUAUUGAUUGGUAUUCAUACAUGAAGCAGUAGUGAGUGUACAUGUAUUCAAGCACACUAUGUUUUUGUUUAUAUUUGUUCAAACUUGCCUGUCUUAUGACAAGUGCAUGUUUUUUAAUGAAUUUGUUGAUAUAUGUUUAUACAAGUUUAUUUAUAAAACGAAUUUUGAUAUGUAUUGAUAAUACAUGUACUAGUAUUGGGAAGAUUUGCACCCCAGCACCACACUAAGUAGACAGGCAUAGCCUUUAUCCAUCCAUAGACAACAAAAUGUAAUUGAAAAAGGCUGUUGCUAAUGAGAAACUUGACCCUCUUGAGGUUAUGCUAUUUCCUAUAACCGUUUGAAGAAGUAUAACACACUUAAUAUACGGUUUCGCCAGUACAAUAUACUAGCGCUUAUGCAUUUAUCAGACAUUUUCAAUAUUAUACAAUAUUAAGUUAUGCAAAGAAACGCAACAUACAUAACCAUUCAGUCAGUUAUCUUACACGACAUUAUUAAAAUAUCUUCAGGUGUUGUUAGGAAUGUAUAGGAAAUUGUUUGCAAUAAAAUGUUGGAUAUUUG